rnacentral:rRNA from 1 species
GUAUUCCUACGGGGGGCAGCAGUGGGGAAUAUUGGGCAAUGGGCGCAAGCCUGACCCAGCAACGCCGCGUGAAGGAAGAAGGCUUUCGGGUUGUAAACUUCUUUUCUUGGGGACGAAGAAAGUGACGGUACCCAAGGAAUAAGCCACGGCUAACUACGUGCCAGCAGCCGCGGUAAUACGUAGGUGGCAAGCGUUAUCCGGAUUUAUUGGGUUUAAAGGGUGCGUAGGCGGGACGGUAAGUCAGCGGUAAAAAUGCGGAGCUCAACUCCGUCGAGCCGUUGAAACUGUCGUUCUUGAGUGAGCGA